rnacentral:rRNA from 9 species
UUAGGUGGGCCUGGCGAUGGUUGUCCAGGUUCAAGCAAGUAGGCUGGUUUCUUAGGUAAAUCCGGGAAAUCAAGGCCGAGAUGUGAUGUCGAGCUCUCUUUUGAGCGAAGCCAUUGAUACCACGCUUCCAGGAAAAGCCUCUAAGCUUCAGGUUAUUAAGAACCGUACCCCAAACCGACACAGGUGGUCAGGUAGAGAAUACUAAGGCGCUUGAGAGAACUCGGGUGAAGGAACUCGGCAAAAUUGUACCGUAACUUCGGGAGAAGGUACGCUGCUGUUUGUGAUGGGAUUUACUCCCUAAGCAGAUGGCAGCCGCAGUGACCAGGUGGCUGGGACUGUUUAUUAAAAACACAGCACUGUGCUAAAUCGAAAGAUGACGUAUACGGUGUGACACCUGCCCGGUGCCGGAAGGUUAAUUGAUGGGGUUAGCGUAAGCGAAGCUCUUGAUCGAAGCCCCGGUAAACGGCGGCCGUAACAAUAACGGUCCUAAGGUAGCGAAAUUCCUUGUCGGGUA